CCCGCUGAACUUAAGCAUAUCAAUAAGCGGAGGAAAAGAAACUAACAAGGAUUCCCCUAGUAACUGCGAGUGAAGCGGGAAAAGCUCAAAUUUGAAAUCUGGCAGUCUUUUUUUUCUUCUUUGGCUGUCCGAGUUGUAAUCUAGAGAAGUGCUUACCUGCGCUGGACCAUGUAUAAGUCUCCUGGAAUGGAGCGUCACAGAGGGUGAGAAUCCCGUCUUUGACAUGGACUGCCAGUGUGUUGUGGUGUGCUCUCAAAGAGUCGAGUUGUUUGGGAAUACAGCUCUAAAUGGGUGGUAAACUCCAUCUAAAGCUAAAUAUUGGCGAGAGACCGAUAGUGAACAAGUACCGUGAGGGAAAGAUGAAAAGGACUUUGGAAAGAGAGUUAAACAGUAUGUGAAAUUGUUGAAAGGGAAACGCUUGAAGUCAGUUAUGUUGGCUAGGGAUCAACCUAGCUGUUUUUUGCUGGGUGAAUUUCCUAGUCUGACAGGCCAACAUCAGUCUUGACUGCUGGAAAAGAGCAGGGGGAAUGUGGCACCUUUGGGUGUGUUAUAGCCCUUUGUCAUAUGUGGCAGUCGGGACUGAGGGAUGCAGCAUGCCGCGAGGCUGGGUUUCUGACCACGUUCAUGCUUAGGAUGUUGGCUUUUAAUGGCUUCAAUCGACCCGUCUUGAAACACGG
rnacentral:rRNA from 1 species